GUUCUUGUAGUUAAAGUAUAACGAUGGUUUUUCAAGCCAUUAAUCUUGGUUAAAGUCCUGGCAGGAACC
rnacentral:tRNA from 1 species